rnacentral:rRNA from 1 species
AAGGCUAAAUACUCCUGACUGACCGAUAGUGAACCAGUACCGUGAGGGAAAGGCGAAAAGAACCCCGGCGAGGGGAGUGAAAAAGAACCUGAAACCGUGUACGUACAAGCAGUGGGAGCACCCUUUGGGGUGUGACUGCGUACCUUUUGUAUAAUGGGUCAGCGACUUAUAUUCUGUAGCAAGGUUAACCGAAUAGGGGAGCCGGAGGGAAACCGAGUCUUAAUUGGGCGUUAAGUUGCAGGGUAUAGACCCGAAACCCGGUGAUCUAGCCAUGGGCAGGUUGAAGGUUGGGUAACACUAACUGGAGGACCGAACCGACUAAUGUUGAAAAAUUAGCGGAUGACCUGUGGCUGGGGGUGAAAGGCCAAUCAAACCGGGAGAUAGCUGGUUCUCCCCGAAAGCUAUUUAGGUAGCGCCUCGUGAAUUCAUCUCCGGGGGUAGAGCACUGUUUCGGCUAGGGGGCCAUCCCGGCUUACCAACCCGAUGCAAACUGCGAAUACCGGAGAAUGUUAUCACGGGAGACACACGGCGGGUGCUAACGUCCGUCGUGAAGAGGGAAACAACCCAGACCGCCAGCUAAGGUCCCAAAGUCAUGGUUAAGUGGGAAACGAUGUGGGAAGGCCCAGACAGCCAGGAUGUUGGCUUAGAAGCAGCCAUCAUUUAAAGAAAGCGUAAUAGCUCACUGGUCGAGUCGGCCUGCGCGGAAGAUGUAACGGGGCUAAACCAU